rnacentral:rRNA from 1 species
CCUACGGGGGGCAGCAGUGAGGAACAUUGGUCAAUGGGCGCAAGCCUGAACCAGCCAAGUCGCGUGAGGGAAGACGGCCCUACGGGUUGUAAACCUCUUUUGCCGGGGAGCAAGCCUGAGCACGUGUGCCCAGGCGGAGAGUACCCGGAGAAAAAGCAUCGGCUAACUCCGUGCCAGCAGCCGCGGUAAUACGGGGGAUGCGAGCGUUAUCCGGAUUUAUUGGGUUUAAAGGGUGCGCAGGCGGGCUGUUAAGCCGGCGGUAAAAUUUCGGGGCUCAACCCC